rnacentral:rRNA from 1 species
GUAGGUGGCAAGCGUUGUCCGGAAUUAUUGGGCGUAAAGCGCGCGCAGGCGGUUCUUUAAGUCUGAUGUGAAAGCCCACGGCUCAACCGUGGAGGGUCAUUGGAAACUGGAGAACUUGAGUACAGAAGAGGAAAGCGGAAUUCCACGUGUAGCGGUGAAAUGCGUAGAGAUGUGGAGGAACACCAGUGGCGAAGGCGGCUUUCUGGUCUGUAACUGACGCUGAGGCGCGAAAGCGUGGGGAGCAAACAGGGAUUAGAUACCCUGGUAGUCCACGCCGUAAACGAUGAGUGCUAAGUGUUAGGGGGUUUCCGCCCCCUUAGUGCUGCAGCUAACGCAUUAAGCACUCCGCCUGGGGAUACGGCGCAAGGCUG